ensembl:lncRNA
GGGGACUAUUACAAGGUGCUGAAUGUGGCAGAAACGGAGGGGACUAUUACAAGGUGCUGAAUGUGGCAGAAACGGAGGGGACUAUUACAAGGUGCUGAAUGUGGCAGAAACGGAGGGGACUAUUACAAGGUGCUGAAUGUGGCAGAAACAGAGGGGACUAAUGCAAGGUGCUGAAUGUGGCAGAAACAGAGGGGACUAAUGCAAGGUGCUGAAUGUGGCAGAAACAGAGGGGACUAAUGCAAGGUGCUGAAUGUGGUAGAAAUGGAGGGGGGAGAGGGCGAUCCCCGGCCAUACUGCCCUCACUGCUGCUCGGCCCCAGCGACUCAGGAGCCUGGGAAAGGGAAAGACCGUAUGGAGAAGAAGGGCAGAGAGAUGAUUACCAUGUCUAUAUGUAGCCUUCUGUUCCCCCAUCUCUUUGUAGAGUAGUGCCAUUGUC